AGAGUUUGAUCCUGGCUCAGGACGAACGCUGGCGGCGCGCCUAACACAUGCAAGUCGAACGAGCGAGAGAGAGCUUGCUUUCUCGAGCGAGUGGCGAACGGGUGAGUAACGCGUGAGGAACCUGCCUCAAAGAGGGGGACAACAGUUGGAAACGACUGCUAAUACCGCAUAAGCCCACGGGUCGGCAUCGACCAGAGGGAAAAGGAGCAAUCCGCUUUGAGAUGGCCUCGCGUCCGAUUAGCUAGUUGGUGAGGUAAUGGCCCACCAAGGCGACGAUCGGUAGCCGGACUGAGAGGUUGAACGGCCACAUUGGGACUGAGACACGGCCCAGACUCCUACGGGAGGCAGCAGUGGGGAAUAUUGCACAAUGGGGGAAACCCUGAUGCAGCGACGCCGCGUGGAGGAAGAAGGUCUUCGGAUUGUAAACUCCUGUUGUUGGGGAAGAUAAUGACGGUACCCAACAAGGAAGUGACGGCUAACUACGUGCCAGCAGCCGCGGUAAAACGUAGGUCACAAGCGUUGUCCGGAAUUACUGGGUGUAAAGGGAGCGCAGGCGGGAAGACAAGUUGGAAGUGAAAUCUAUGGGCUCAACCCAUAAACUGCUUUCAAAACUGUUUUUCUUGAGUAGUGCAGAGGUAGGCGGAAUUCCCGGUGUAGCGGUGGAAUGCGUAGAUAUCGGGAGGAACACCAGUGGCGAAGGCGGCCUACUGGGCACCAACUGACGCUGAGGCUCGAAAGUGUGGGUAGCAAACAGGAUUAGAUACCCUGGUAGUCCACACCGUAAACGAUGAUUACUAGGUGUUGGAGGAUUGACCCCUUCAGUGCCGCAGUUAACACAAUAAGUAAUCCACCUGGGGAGUACGACCGCAAGGUUGAAACUCAAAGGAAUUGACGGGGGCCCGCACAAGCAGUGGAGUAUGUGGUUUAAUUCGACGCAACGCGAAGAACCUUACCAAGUCUUGACAUCCCUUGACAGACAUAGAAAUAUGUAAUCUCUUCGGAGCAAGGAGACAGGUGGUGCAUGGUUGUCGUCAGCUCGCGUCGUGAGAUGUUGGGUUAAGUCCCGCAACGAGCGCAACCCUUAUGGUCAGUUACUACGCAAGAGGACUCUGGCCAGACUGCCGUUGACAAAACGGAGGAAGGUGGGGAUGACGUCAAAUCAUCGUGCCCUUUAUGACUUGGGCUACACACAUACUACAAUGGCGUUAAACAAAGAGAAGCAAGACCGCGAGGUGGAGCAAAACUCAGAAACAACGUCCCAGUUCGGACUGCAGGCUGCAACUCGCCUGCACGAAGUCGGAAUUGCUAGUAAUCGUGGAUCAGCAU
rnacentral:rRNA from 1 species